rnacentral:rRNA from 1 species
CCUACGGGUUGCAGCAGUGGGGAAUAUUGCACAAUGGGCGCAAGCCUGAUGCAGCCAUGCCGCGUGUAUGAAGAAGGCCUUAGGGUUGUAAAGUACUUUCAGUUGGGAGGAAGGCGUUGAUGCUAAUAUCAUCAACGAUUGACGUUACCAACAGAAGAAGCACCGGCUAAUUCCGUGCCAGCAGCCGCGGUAAUACGGAGGGUGCAAGCGUUAAUCGGAAUUACUGGGCGUAAAGCGCACGCAGGCGGUCUGUCAAGUCGGAUGUGAAAUCCCCGGGCUCAACCUGGGAACUGCAUUCGAAACUGGCAGGCUAGAGUCUUGUAGAGGGGGGUAGAAUUCCAGGUGUAGCGGUGAAAUGCGUAGAGAUCUGGAGGAAUACCGGUGGCGAAGGCGGCCCCCUGGACAAAGGCUGACGCUCAGGUGCGAAAGCGUGGGGAGCAAACAGGAUUAGAUACCCGUGUAGUC